ACGCUAGCUACAGGCUUAACACAUGCAAGUCGAGGGGCAGCAUGGUCUUAGCUUGCUAAGGCCGAUGGCGACCGGCGCACGGGUGAGUAACACGUAUCCAACCUGCCGUCUACUCUUGGACAGCCUUCUGAAAGGAAGAUUAAUACAAGAUGGCAUCAUGAGUCCGCAUGUUCACAUGAUUAAAGGUAUUCCGGUAGACGAUGGGGAUGCGUUCCAUUAGAUAGUAGGCGGGGUAACGGCCCACCUAGUCUUCGAUGGAUAGGGGUUCUGAGAGGAAGGUCCCCCACAUUGGAACUGAGACACGGUCCAAACUCCUACGGGAGGCAGCAGUGAGGAAUAUUGGUCAAUGGGCGAGAGCCUGAACCAGCCAAGUAGCGUGAAGGAUGACUGCCCUAUGGGUUGUAAACUUCUUUUAUAAAGGAAUAAAGUCGGGUAUGGAUACCCGUUUGCAUGUACUUUAUGAAUAAGGAUCGGCUAACUCCGUGCCAGCAGCCGCGGUAAUACGGAGGAUCCGAGCGUUAUCCGGAUUUAUUGGGUUUAAAGGGAGCGUAGAUGGAUGUUUAAGUCAGUUGUGAAAGUUUGCGGCUCAACCGUAAAAUUGCAGUUGAUACUGGAUAUCUUGAGUGCAGUUGAGGCAGGCGGAAUUCGUGGUGUAGCGGUGAAAUGCUUAGAUAUCACGAAGAACUCCGAUUGCGAAGGCAGCCUGCUAAGCUGCAACUGACAUUGAGGCUCGAAAGUGUGGGUAUCAAACAGGAUUAGAUACCCUGGUAGUCCACACGGUAAACGAUGAAUACUCGCUGUUUGCGAUAUACUGCAAGCGGCCAAGCGAAAGCGUUAAGUAUUCCACCUGGGGAGUACGCCGGCAACGGUGAAACUCAAAGGAAUUGACGGGGGCCCGCACAAGCGGAGGAACAUGUGGUUUAAUUCGAUGAUACGCGAGGAACCUUACCCGGGCUUAAAUUGCAGAUGAGUUACGGUGAAAGCCGUAAGCCGCAAGGCAUCUGUGAAGGUGCUGCAUGGUUGUCGUCAGCUCGUGCCGUGAGGUGUCGGCUUAAGUGCCAUAACGAGCGCAACCCUUGUUGUCAGUUACUAACAGGUUCCGCUGAGGACUCUGACAAGACUGCCAUCGUAAGAUGUGAGGAAGGUGGGGAUGACGUCAAAUCAGCACGGCCCUUACGUCCGGGGCUACACACGUGUUACAAUGGGGGGUACAGAGGGCCGCUACCACGCGAGUGGAUGCCAAUCCCCAAAACCUCUCUCAGUUCGGACUGGAGUCUGCAACCCGACUCCACGAAGCUGGAUUCGCUAGUAAUCGCGCAUCAGCCACGGCGCGGUGAAUACGUUCCCGGGCCUUGUACACACCGCCCGUCAAGCCAUGGGAGCCGGGGGUACCUGAAGUGCGUAACCGCGAGGAGCGCCCUAGGGUAAAACUGGUGACUGGGG
rnacentral:rRNA from 1 species